rnacentral:rRNA from 1 species
UACGUAGGGGGCAAGCGUUGUCCGGAUUUAUUGGGCGUAAAGAGCGUGUAGGCGGCUAGGUAGGUCCGUUGUGAAAACUCGAGGCUCAACCUCGAGACGCCGGUGGAAACCAUCUAGCUAGAGUCCGGAAGAGGAGAGUGGAAUUCCUGGUGUAGCGGUGAAAUGCGCAGAUAUCAGGAAGAACACCCGUGGCGAAGGCGGCUCUCUGGUACGUGACUGACGCUGAGACGCGAAAGCGUGGGGAGCGAACAGG